rnacentral:lncRNA from 1 species
GUGGUAUUUGUAUAUGGAAGAUAUUACAAAAUUUUACUGUAAAGUAUACAGAAAAUCCACAUAAUUAGAGACAUCGUAUGUUUUCAAGGAAGAGGGCUAAAUACUAGCUCUUAAACUUACAAACACUUCACGUGACCCUCAUAUCCAACAAGGCCCACUACAUUAGUCAGGACUGUUAAAUCCAGCUUGCGCUGGAGCUCUGAGAAGUGGUUCCGUUUUGGAGCAAGAGGGAGGGAAGCUGGAAAACACGGAAAGUUCGGUGUCCCCAUCAGCCUCUCUGCUGCUCUCCCCAAAGCUGUUCCACUGCUGGUGCUGCAGAGCGGGCUCUCCAUGGCUCCGGGGAGCAGGGCCUGGCUCCCCAGGAACGUGGGCUGCACCCGAGGGCCCCGUGCUGGCCACAGCUGGCCCCGAGCUGCUGCGUGUGCCUUCACCCGGCCAGUCCGGGACUCUCACCAGAGCGUGGAUAAACAGAGCAGGACCAAGUUGAUUAAAAAUAACGGACCUGAAAACUUCAGCCUUCUCUUUGCAAGGAGCCACGAGAGGAGGAAACACGGGAGAGCAUGGAAAUGGUUUCUUCAGUAA